rnacentral:rRNA from 1 species
AUUGAACGCUGGCGGCAGGCCUAACACAUGCAAGUCGAACGAGUGGCGGACGGGUGAGUAAUGUCUGGGAAACUGCCCGAUGGGGGGGGAUAACUACUGGAAACGGUAGCUAAUACCGCAUACCAUCGGAUGUGCCCAGAUGGGAUGGGCUAGUAGGUGGGGUAACGGCUCACCUAGGGGACGAUCCCUAGCUGGUCUGAGAGGAUGACCAGCCACACUGGAACUGAGACACGGUCCAGACUCCUACGGGAGGCAGCAGUGGGGAAUAUGUCACAAUGGGCGCAAGCCUGAUGCAGCCAUGCCGCGUGUAUGAAGAAGGCCUUAGGGUUGUAAAGUACUUUCAGCGGGGAGGCGUUACCGACAGAAGAAGCACCGGCUAACUCCGUGCCAGCAGCCGCGGUAAUUC